rnacentral:rRNA from 1 species
AGCUCCAAUAGCGUAUAUUAAAGUUGUUGCAGUUAAAAAGCUCGUAGUUGGAUUUCUGGUACGGUGCGCGUGGCCCGCCAUCGAAAGGUGUGCGAGUGUCGCUUGUGCGUCUACCAUCUCUUGUAGCUAGGGUGUCUCUCUCCAGGGGCAUCUGAACUACAUCGUUUACUUUGAAGAAAUUAGAGUGUUCAAAGCGGGCUUGCGCAUGAAUAUAUUAGCAUGGAAUAAUAAUUUAGGACUUUGAUCCUAUUUUGUUGGUUUUAAGGAUUAAAGUAAUGAUUGAUAGGGAUAGUUGGGGGUGCUAGUAUUCACCGGCCAGAGGUGAAAUUCUUGGAUUCGGUGAAGACUAACUUAUGCGAAAGCAUUCACCAAGGAUGUCUUCU